CACGUAGGGCGCGAGCGUUGUCCGGAAUUAUUGGGCGUAAAGAGCUCGUAGGCGGCGUGUUGCGUCCGCUGUGAAAGCCCGGGGCUUAACCCCGGGUCGGCAGUGGAUACGGGCAGGCUAGAGGUAGGUAGGGGAGAAUGGAAUUCCCGGUGUAGCGGUGAAAUGCGCAGAUAUCGGGAGGAACACCGGUGGCGAAGUCGGUUCUCUGGGCCUUACCUGACGCUGAGGAGCGAAAGCGUGGGGAGCGAACAGG
rnacentral:rRNA from 1 species